rnacentral:lncRNA from 1 species
UAUCUUUCUAUUUGGUAGUAUGGACGGAGCUGAUGGAUCCGAGAAGCCCGCCGGUGAAGAGAGUGGACGCAUUGGAUCUGAUCAGCCCGCCGGUGACGAGAAUCAAAGCAUCACCAUUUCCCUUGAGUAGGUAUAUUCUUAAUAUGUGUGUACACGUAUUCUAGUAAGUUUAUAUCUAGUUGGUGAUUUCAUUUCUUUUUUUUGUGGCAGUCACUACAACCGCAUGAUGGAAGUUAUUGGGAGGAUCGACCAUUUGAUGACCACAAUUGAGAUGCAUGGCAGACUAAUUUCUUUGAUCCGGCGACAACUGGACGAACGUCGACGCGGUACUGGUUUCGCGCCUAGGCGGUGCAUGGCUUGUGGCGUGACGGGCCACAAUAGGAGUACCUGUGGACGUUAGAAUACUUGGCGUCAUGAAUAUAGGACAGUCUAGUUAAAGUAAUAGUUAAAGUAAUAGGUUUUAUUUCAUUCAAUUUAAAUUGCAGUAGUGAAGAUGUAUUUCCCUUGAGCAUUGUCAAUGUAUUUCCAUGAUGGAUUAAUAUAAUAAAAUGUUCUGUCAUGUUGGUUUUGUAUGAAGAUUGUGAAUUACGAUUCAGAAUCGUUGGUAUUUUCUUCUUG